rnacentral:lncRNA from 1 species
AUCGCCUACCUGACUCUCGUCAGGACUCCCUAAUAACACAUUAACAUCAGAAAUAACAGAUAAAUACUUCCCUUAAUCUUAUAUUAACUUCAGGGAUAACAGAUAAAUACUUCCAGUAACCUUAUAUUAACUUCAACGAUAAUAUUUAAAUAACCAAAACCAACCAUACCACUCUUUUACAAAACCUAGUACAAUACAAAAGUUCCAACCUUAAUAAGACACUAAAAGAUUCACAACUCAAAAUUCUCCAAGCUAACUUCCUAAGAUCCUUCGUUCGAUCCCUAACCACCAACUCCUGUAAGGAAAACAAAGCUAAAAUGGUUGAGUUAAAGCUCUGUGAGAUUUGCCGAGCAAGUAACAGUUAAUAAACGCUUAAAUCAUUGCAAUUAAACAAACGGUGCACAUUUCACUGGACAAUCACAUUCAAAAGGAUACACACUCCACAUGGGAGUUAUUUCAAUGUCAUUGAGCUGUCAUUUCAGAGUCACGAGACAAUCAUUUCAAUAUCAUUGCAUUCACUCCGCCAAUUCACCCCCUUAUAUUCUCCGAAAUAAUAAACAAUCCCCUACAUUCAACAAUCAACUCAGUAAUCUCCCAACUUCCAAGUAGUACUCGAGAAUACCAAAACAUUUACCCAAAACUACCGUCCUAUCCGACCAAACCCCUUGCUGGCUCGAAUAGUCCGUUGAACAGAGGGUUUUGGAGCCCAGUUCAGCCAAAGGCUUACAUUCAUGCACAUUUACAGUAUCAUUCAAUCAAUAAUCAACCUUCGAGCUCAACUAAGUCGAGUGUGAUAAAGUACAUUCCCGACUUAGAAGGCGAAAGACCAUUGAUAUACACAUCAUAAUAAAUCACUAGCAAUAUUCAAAACAAGCACAAUUCUCACAUAAAUUCAUUUAAAGAAACAUAACCAGUUAAGCAUAUACAUUCGACAAUACUCACCAAAUAUCCAAAUGAACUAGUCUCGAGUCUCGAGUCGAUUUCCUGGUUCACAGCUACUUCCUGGACAAGUUAAUAAUUCUAAAGUGAAUAUUCAAUUUAUAUACAGCCACUCAUCUUAUACCAAUUUAAGGUUUAAGUAACUAAAACCAAGUUCCUAAGCUUAUAAAACAAGUCACCAAAAUCCAGCAAUCUUCCUUACGUUUUUCUUCAAGAUCAUUAAGUUUGGUAGCUCUAAAACAAGGUUAAUGUACAUAUAUACCAAAUUUUAAGAUCUUAUAAAACAUUUGAGCUAAGAUUAACUCAUUUUCAACCCAAUAUUCAAGGAUUAGGGCAAGUGAACGUUUCAUUCCUUCCCUUUAAGCUAGACCAGAUUCUAGGUUGCUUGUAAUUUAAAUUUUGAUCCAAUUCACUAAAUUUUCAAGUUUUAGGUUCACUAAAAUGUUCAUGAAACAAAGUCAAGGUAUUAUAAGAUGUCUUAUGCAAAACCACACCUAAUCAUCCUAAAUCUUUUUUGAAAAUCUCAUAAGAGUUCAAUUCCUCACUCUCUCGGUCAGCAAGGCAAAUUUUCCAGCAAUACCACUUCAAAAAUUUCCACAAAGUUCCAUCUUUUACUUGCUUAAAACACUAAACAUUGAGUAUACAUUCUGUCCAGUUUAAACCAAAGUAGAUAUCAUAUAGUUCCAGCAAGUUAUUCGACCAAGGAACUGCACACACCAAUCUGUCAUCAGCUAGCUAAAACAUUCAGUAAUGUAGCAAUUUAGUACACGACAUUUCCUCCAUAAUUUCUUCAGUUUUAACUCUAACUCAUCAUGCAAAGGAUGAUUCUUCAGCUACAGAGUAUUCUUAACCAGCACACAUGGAAGUUUACGGCUAGAGUUCGAAAGAAAAACUAAUCAGAGGUUUAACUCUUUCUCUCGGCCAAACUGGAAAGGUUUUUGGGCAGCAAUCAGCUUUUAAGCAAGAACUUUCUCUAACAAUCCCUUCAAUUUAUAAUCAAAUCUUUCGUGCAUGAAGAAAUCAAGGUGUUAUACAAUAUUUUACAGCUUAGUACAGAAUUUUAGAACCAAGAUUCGCAAAAAGGAAACUGGUACUUCAUUAUUUCUUGCUCUCGGAUGAAGUUGAGAAAUUUCCAGCAACCUCUUAUCAGUAUUUUCAAUCCAAAUUUCCAGCUUUUCACAAGUUUCUUCAGCUAAACUUCAUAUAAUACAUAAGGCUAAUGUAUUACAUGCAUUUCCUAUCAUUAGUUUCCAUUCUACACCGAUAACAAGUUGCAACUCAGCAUGUAAGCUCUCGAUUCCUACAGGUAUCAGUCCAGCAGCUAUGCAGUCUCAAAUCAGAGUUUUGCUCAACAUGCAACUUAUGUAUUCUUAUACUUAAUAAGUAAAGGAUUAUUACAGAAUUUUUUUACCUCUUUUCUUUUAGAAUUCAACAAUUGUUGACUGCUCCAGUUCCUUCUAGCUUCGAUUCCUCAAAAUUGCAGCAGCUUUCACUCUUUCUCUCCAUUGAAGCUAAUAAGUGAUGAAACUAGCAAAGUUUCUCUUCCUAUCCUUCACUUUAGCUCUCAGUUUUGGUGUUUGAAAGGAAGAAAUGGGUUGAUGCCCUGUUUUCUCUCACGGUUGUUGCUGCCUAAGAAAAAUGCAGAGCUAUCUCUCACUCUCUCGGUUGGGCUUGAGGUGAGACAAGAGAAUGAGCUAAGUCCUCGCUUUUCUCUCGGUUGUUAACUCCGAAGAAGCUGAUCACUCAAACUUCCUCUUCAGUCGGUGGUGACAAUUCCUAAGUUCCUCAACUCAG